AUCUUCCGCAAUGGGCGAAAGCCUGACGGAGCAACGCCGCGUGCGUGAUGAAGGGUUUCGGCUCGUAAAACUCUGUUAUUAGGGAAGAACAAAUGUGUAAGUAACUGUGCACAUCUUUACGGUACCCAAUCUGAAAGCCACGGCCAACUACGUUCCCACAGCCGCGGUAAUACGUAGGUGGCAAGCGUUAUCCGGAAUUAUUGGGCGUAAAGCGCGCGUAGGCGGUUUCUUAAGUCUGAUGUGAAAGCCCACGGCUCAACCGUGGAGGGUCAUUGGAAACUGGGAAACUUGAGUGCAGAAGAGGAAAGUGGAAUUCCAUGUGUAGCGGUGAAAUGCGCAGAGAUAUGGAGGAACACCAGUGGCGAAGGCGACUUUCUGGUCUGUAACUGACGCUGAUGUGCGAAAGCGUGGGGAUCAAACA
rnacentral:rRNA from 1 species